rnacentral:tRNA from 1 species
GGAAGUGAGUCGGCUCCGGUGAGUCGGCAGGACUUCAAAUCCUGUUAAGGACGCCAGCGUUCUUGGGUGGGUUCAACUCCCAUUCACUUCC